CAACGGAUAAAAGGUACUCCGGGGAUAACAGGCUGAUACCGCCCAAGAGUUCAUAUCGACGGCGGUGUUUGGCACCUCGAUGUCGGCUCAGUCACAUCCUGGGGCUGAAGUAGGUCCCAAGGGUAUGGCUGUUCGCCAUUUAAAGUGGUACGCGAGCUGGGUUUAGAACGUCGUGAGACAGUUCGGUCCCUAUCUGCCGUGGGCGUUGGAAGAUUGAGAGGGGUUGCUCCUAGUACGAGAGGACCGGAGUGAACGCACCACUGGUGUUCGGG
rnacentral:rRNA from 1 species